rnacentral:rRNA from 1 species
GUAAAGAAUCUUCCGCAAUGGGCGAAAGCCUGACGGAGCAACACUGCGUGGUGGAUGACGGCCUUCGGGUUGUAAACACCUUUUCUGGGGGAAGAAGUUCUGACGGUACCCCAGGAAUAAGCGACGGCUAAUUACGUGCCAGCAGCCGCGGUAAUACGUAAGUCGCAAGCGUUAUCCGGAAUCAUUGGGCGUAAAGCGUCCGUAGGCGGUCAUAUCAGUCUGUGGUUAAAGCCCAGGGCUCAACCCUGGAAUCGUCACGGAAACUGUAUGACUUGAGGUGUGCAGGGGCAGAUGGAAUUCCAGAAGUAGGGGUAAAAUCCGUAGAUCUCUGGAGGAACACCAAACGCGAAGGCAUUCUGCUGGGCACAACCUGACGCUGAGGGACGAAAGCGUGGGUAGCAAACGGG